GAGAUUACUGGUGUGUGUGUGAGAGAUUACUGGUGUGAGGGUGAGAGAUUACUGGUGUGAGGGUGAGAGAUUACUGGUGUGAGGGUGAGAGAUUACUGGUGUGAGGGUGAGUGUGAGAUUACUGGUGUGAGGGGUGAGAGAUUACUGGUGUGAGUGUGAGAGAUUACUGGUGUGAGGGUGAGAGAUUACUGGUGUGAGGGUGAGAGAUUACUGGUGUGAGUGUGAGAGAUUACUGGUGUGAGGGUGAGUGUGAGAGAUUACUGGUGUGAGGUGGAGUGUGAGAGAUUACUGGUGUGUGUGUGAGAGAUUACUGGUGUGAGGGUGAGAGAUUACUGGUGUGAGUGUGAGAGAUUACUGGUGUGAGGGUGCGUGUGAGAUUACUGGUGUGUGUGUGAGAGAUUACAGGUGUGUGUGUGAGAGAUUACUGGUGUGAUUGUGAGAGAUUACUGGUGUGAGUGUGAGAGAUUACUGGUGUGAGUGUGAGAGAUUACUGGUGUGAGGGUGAGUGUGAGAGAUUACUGG
ensembl:lncRNA